CCUUCACCCCACACCUUCUCCAGUGUUGUUAAGGCAUGCUGAUGAGGGGGUGGUCCUUGGUUCAGUAUCAGUAACCACUGUCAUCUGUGACUUCAGACGGAAUUCUUCAAAAUGCUAGAAUUCUUCAAUUGCACUUAAGGUAAAAAUAGUGUAAAAUUAGACUUUAGGGGAAGAGGAAAUUUUUGCUGGGCCCAACUUGCCUUGUAUCUGUCUGACUUUUACACAUUCUGGAGCGUAGCUGGAAUACCGAUCAGCACAUCCUUCUCUCUCUGUGUGCGUUCCCCUCAGAGCUGGCAUUUCCAGGAGUGGGCGCACUUGAUACAGCAGCCGCAGUGUGAAAGAUGAUCUGUGGUUAUUUUAUUCCAAGUAGGGUGACUAUGUGGGAGUUGUCUGGGUCUUCAGUAGCAUGGGAUGGCGGAGUAAAAGGUGACUGAGCCGGAGCAGGGUGUUUCCACUGAAGAGAGCCCCUGCCAUACAGGCAUGCAUGUUACCAUUCAACCACAUCUUGGUGAUGUAUGUUUUCUUUUUGUGGGAGCUUUCCUCAUC
rnacentral:lncRNA from 1 species